CCUACGGGAGGCAGCAGUGGGGAAUUUUGGACAAUGGGCGCAAGCCUGAUCCAGCCAUUCCGCGUGAGUGAAGAAGGCCUUCGGGUUGUAAAGCUCUUUCGCAAGGGAAGAAAGAUUACAUUCUAAUAUAAUGUGAUUAUGACGGUACCUUGAUAAGAAGCACCGGCUAACUACGUGCCAGCAGCCGCGGUAAUACGUAGGGUGCGAGCGUUAAUCGGAAUUACUGGGCGUAAAGCGUGCGCAGGCUGUUUUGUAAGUCAGAUGUGAAAUCCCCGAGCUCAACUUGGGAACUGCGUUUGAAACUACAAGACUAGAAUAGGUCAGAGGGGGGUAGAAUUCCACGUGUAGCAGUGAAAUGCGUAGAGAUGUGGAGGAAUAUCAAUGGCGAAGGCAGCCCCCUGGGAUCAUAUUGACGCUCAUGCACGAAAGCGUGGGAGCAAACAGGAUUAGAUACCCUGUAGUCCACGCCUAAACGANNACACUAGUUGUUGUAGUAAGUAAAUAUAUAGAGAACGACGAGACGUAACGACGUAGGUAAGGUUACGGUAACCGGUCCGGUGGGGUUAGGUUACGUAGUUACGACGAAGAAAGUUAAAACGUUAACGUAAAGUUAGUUAAGUUAGGACGGACGUUAGAGACGACGACCGACGGACGACGACGGAGGGAGGUAGG
rnacentral:rRNA from 1 species